rnacentral:tRNA from 1 species
GGUCCCUUCGUCUAUUGGCUAGGACGUGGCCCUCUCAAGGCUAAAAGACGGGUUCAAUUCCCGUAGGGACCG